rnacentral:rRNA from 1 species
CCCUUAGAUGUUCUGGGCUGCACGCGCGCUACAAUAAUACGCACAGCGAGUAUCACCGAGCUCGAAAGGGCAAGGUAAACAAUAGAAAAGGUACUGUAAUGGUUAUAGAUCCUUGUAAUUAUUGAUCUUCAACGAGGAAUUCCUAGUAAGUAUGUGUCAUCAUCACGCACUGAUUACGUCCCUGCCCUUUGUACACACCGCCCGUCGCUCCUACCGAUUGGGUGAGCCGAUGAAACUCUCGGAUGUAGGCUAUUCAUAGCCCGCAGAAGAGAUUUGAAUCGUAGCGCUUAGAGGAAGGAGAAGUCGCAACA